rnacentral:rRNA from 1 species
AGCAGCCGCGGUAAUUCCAGCUCCAAUAGCGUAUAUUAAAGUUGUUGCAGUUAAAAAGCUCGUAGUUGAAUUUCGGGAUUGGCGUGUCGGUCGUGCCUUACGGGGUAUGAACUGGCGUCGUCGAUUUCUCACCUUCUGGAGAAUCACGAUGCCCUUAAUUGGGUGUCGUGUGGAACCAGGACCCUUACCUUGAAAAAUUAGAGUGUUUAAAGCAGGCAUUUUUGCUCGAAUACAUUAGCAUGGAAUAAUAAAAUAGGACGGUUUGGUUCCAUUUUGUUGGUUUCUAGGAUCACCGUAAUGAUUAAUAGGGAUAGUUGGGGGCAUUAGUAUUCAAUUGUCAGAGGUGAAAUUCUUGGAUUUAUUGAAGACUAACUACUGCGAAAGCAUUUGCCAAGGAUGUUUUCAUUAAUCAAGAACGAAAGUUAGGGGAUCGAAGACGAUCAGAUACCGUCGUAGUCUUAACCAUAAACUAUGCCGACUAGGAAUCAGACGAUGUUAAUUUUUAAUGACUCGUUUGGCA